ACUGCUGAGCCCUCCAGGGGUCCCCUGGCCCUGGUACUUUUUGGAAAGAUUCUCCUUGAUCAGAGACCCUACCUUCCCGUAGCUUCUCUUGAGUUUCACAAAUUCCUCAAUUCCUUCAUCCUCCCACCACUAGGUCUUGAGCACCUGCUACGUGUGGGGCGUCGGGCCGGGCCAGGGUGCAGUGGGGGACAAACCCAACCGGCCGCCCGGGUUCCUGAGGCUCGGCGGCCCCACUCUAAGGGGCCACGGGGCCGGGGGGUGGGCGGCAGAGGGGAAGAGUGGAGCAGGGGCUGGGGACACGUGGGCCAAGCUGGCCAGGAGGCAACCGGCAGCAGAGGUGGUGGCAGGGGACGCAUCGCGGUGAGGCCUGCGUCUGCAGCCUGGGGCCUCCAUCGCCUCUCCACCCACCAGGUAACAUCCACGCAGGGACCCACAGGUGCUAACGGAGUGGGCCAAUACUGCGAUCCCUUUCCCCAAACCGGAGGUGACACGGGCGGCGCCAGGGGCCGCGAUCAGGGCCCCGACAGCUGGUCCCCUGCAAGGGGUCAGUGCCCGUGGCCUCCUGUUGGUUGUGGGCAGCUUUCCAGGAGGGAGAAGGGCCGAAGCGGGAGCCCUGGGAGAGUGGGUGCAGGGGGGCCUCCGAUGACCCCUGCCCUCUCCUCCCUGCGAGCUGCCGGGGCGGGGGUGCCAACGGCCCCCUGGCCCAGGGCCUUCAGCCGCCCUGAAGGCACGUGCCCAUCGCCGGGCAUCGAAACGGUUAACAGAGCGGCUCUUCUGUGGGCUUGGGGUCUAUGCCCUCCUUCUCUUAGAUUCCCGAAGAGCCUUGGAAAUCCAGAAAGCUCUGUGCCGCCGGCUGCCCUUUGCUGCCUAGAGCUGGAAAGGCCCUUGCCCACUGCCUGCCAAGGUCUGGGCCUGCAGCCGCGCUCGCCCUCUCCCCGAGGUGGCCAACCCGCCGGCCUCGCAAAACAGGGAGCCCAGCAAGAAAAAAAAAGUCACUUGAAUUUUAUAAAGUGGUAA
rnacentral:lncRNA from 1 species